GAUGAACGCUGGCGGCGUGCCUAAUACAUGCAAGUCGAGCGAACAGACGAGGAGCUUGCUCCUCUGACGUUAGCGGCGGACGGGUGAGUAACACGUGGAUAACCUACCUAUAAGACUUGGAUAACUUCGGGAAACCGGAGCUAAUACCGGAUAAUAUAUUGAACCGCAUGGUUCAAUAGUGAAAGACGGUUUUGCUGUCACUUAUAGAUGAAUCCGCGCCGCAUUAGCUAGUUGGUAAGGUAACGGCUUACCAAGGCGACGAUGCGUAGCCGACCUGAGAGGGUGAUCGGCCACACUGGAACUGAGACACGGUCCAGACUCCUACGGGAGGCAGCAGUAGGGAAUCUUCCGCAAUGGGCGAAAGCCUGACGGAGCAACGCCGCGUGAGUGAUGAAGGUCUUCGGAUCGUAAAACUCUGUUAUUAGGGAAGAACAAAUGUGUAAGUAACUAUGCACGUCUUGACGGUACCUAAUCAGAAAGCCACGGCUAACUACGUG
rnacentral:rRNA from 1 species